rnacentral:rRNA from 1 species
UACGUAGGGUGCAAGCGUUAUCCGGAAUUAUUGGGCGUAAAGAGCUCGUAGGCGGUUUGUCGCGUCUGCUGUGAAAACUGGGGGCUCAACCCCCAGCCUGCAGUGGGUACGGGCAGACUAGAGUGCGGUAGGGGAGAUUGGAAUUCCUGGUGUAGCGGUGGAAUGCGCAGAUAUCAGGAGGAACACCAGUGGCGAAGGCAGAUCUCUGGGCCGUAACUGACGCUGAGGAGCGAAAGCAUGGGGAGCGAACAGG